rnacentral:lncRNA from 1 species
ACCAACCGAUCCCCAAGACUCUACACUCCUUUCCCCAGAUCCUUAGUUUUUUGGUUUUUGUUUUUUAAAUUUGGAUAGACUGGACAGGAAACUGCAGUCUCAGUUGUCCAGGCAAAGAUCAGGGUGAUCCUUUCCUUCACCCCCACGGCCUCUCCCCACCUUUUCCAACGUGUUGCAUGCUGGGAGUUGAGGAGGAAAGGGCUGCUGCCUUCAUUUAGGAGGCUGAGAUUUGAGGGCAAGAUCCAACCUGGUAGACUACCCCGCUUGCAGCGGUGGUGUCUUCUCUGUGGAUGGAUAGAAAGAGAAAGAAAACUCUUCUUAUCUGGGGGAGGGGCGUCCUCUUCCUUAUCUUUAGAUUUCUUGUUAUAUCCCCUCCUCACACUUUAAUUUAUUUCGCUGUUUCAGGAGGGUGGGUGGGUGGGGAGGGGGCUGGGCAGGGAAUUGUCCGAGGUGCUGAGCUGGGCGGGACCGGAAUCGUCCUGGGAAGAGUACCAGGGACUGGGUCGGGCCUGGGGCCUUGUCCAAGGUGCCAAUGAUGCGGGCCGACGGCGCAGGCCGCACUAUCUGUCUGUCCGUCUGUCCUGGAGCGAACUAUAAAGCGCUGGAAGCGCCUACAGAUGGUUUCGCGCCGGCCUCUUUUUGGGUUCCCGGAGGGUGGAAAGGAAUGGGCGUAGGAGUGAAACUGUUAGGGGUAGGGUAGGAGGGAAAGUCAGGUCCCUGAGAUCUGUAACCUGCUACCUGCCCACACUGGCUUUCAUUUUACAGUAAAGCAUCAUAAGCCAAGGGUUGAGGCUGAACUUACCUCCCAAUUCCGGCCUCCAUCUUGUCUGCCCUACCUCCUUAUUAAUACUCAGGCUACUUAAGGACAAAUGAUAAAGAGACAGAAGUCUCCCUUUCUGUGAGGUGACCCUUGAGAC